rnacentral:rRNA from 1 species
UACAGAGGUCCCAAGCGUUGUUCGGAUUCAUUGGGCGUAAGGGUGCGUAGGCGGCGCGGUAAGUCGGGUGUGAAAUCUCGGAGCUUAACUCCGAAACUGCAUUCGAUACUGCCGUGCUUGAGGACUGGAGAGGAGACUGGAAUUUACGGUGUAGCGGUGAAAUGCGUAGAUAAUCGUGAAGGAAGACCAGUGGCGAAGGCGGGUCUCUGGACAGUUCCUGACGCUGAGGCACGAAGGCCAGGGGAGCAAACGGG